rnacentral:rRNA from 1 species
UACGGAGGAUGCAAGCGUUAUCCGGAAUGAUUGGGCGUAAAGCGUCCGCAGGUGGCUGUGUAAGUCUGCUGUCAAAGAGCGAAGCUCAACUUCGUAAAGACAGUGGAAACUACGUAGCUAGAGUACGGUCGGGGUAGAAAGAAUUCCUGGUGUAGCGGUGAAAUGCGUAGAGAUCAGGAAGAACACCGGUGGCGAAAGCGUUCUGCUAGGCCUGUACUGACACUGAGGGACGAAAGCUAGGGGAGCGAAUGGG